rnacentral:rRNA from 1 species
UACAGAGGUCUCAAGCGUUGUUCGGAUUUAUUGGGCGUAAAGAGCUCGUAGGCGGCUUGUCGCGUCGACUGUGAAAACCCGCGGCUCAACUGCGGGCCUGCAGUCGAUACGGGCAGGCUAGAGUUCGGUAGGGGAGACUGGAAUUCCUGGUGUAGCGGUGAAAUGCGCAGAUAUCAGGAGGAACACCGGUGGCGAAGGCGGGUCUCUGGGCCGAUACUGACGCUGAGGAGCGAAAGCGUGGGGAGCGAACAGG